ACAGAACUCUUCUUUCAUUGCAAAACACAACAAAACAUAGGUAUUGACUAUGUUCAUAUCAAAUUUAUGUAUUGUAAUUUUUUUAGUUCAAGCAUUAGCAUUAAUACCAUCCCAAAGGAAAAACAACACAACCAAGCUGAUUGUUUAUCAAUAAAAUAUGAUUAUUAUAAUUCAAAAGAACAAAUAGAAAACAAAAAGCAUUCAUCUAAUCCCUAUUUUUCAGAAGCCCCAACAAAAGCAUGCACGUGAGUUCAUAUAUUGGCACUCAGAAUAUCAAAUUAUACACAGCUUAAAAAUAAUUAUACAUUGAAAGACAACAAAGACGUCAGCACAUACUACAAUAAAAAAAUGAGAAAUAUUUCAUUGCUCAUAAUAACAUGUUUUCAA
rnacentral:misc_RNA from 1 species